GACGAACGCYGGCGGCGUGCYUAAUACAUGCAAGUCGAGCGGACCGACGGGAGCUUGCUCCCUUAGGUCAGCGGCGGACGGGUGAGUAACACGUGGGUAACCUGCCUGUAAGACUGGGAUAAYUCCGGGAAMCCGGGGYUAAUMCCGGAUGCUUGAUUGAMCCGCAUGGUUCAAUCAUAAAAGGUGGCUUUYAGCUACCACUURCAGAUGGACCCGCGGCGCAUUAGCUAGUUGGUGAGGUAACGGCUCACCAAGGCGACGAUGCGUAGCCGACCUGAGAGGGUGAUCGGCCACACUGGGACUGAGAC
rnacentral:rRNA from 1 species